rnacentral:lncRNA from 10 species
UGAGCUGGGCAGAGGACCCUGGCCAGGCCCAGACAACAUAAAUACAUCCUGAGAGUUUACAUUGUGUGGGCCGUCCACGCUGCCUUUAUGAGCUGUAACACUCACCGCGAAGGUCUGCAGCUUCACUCCUGAAGCCAGCGAGACUACGAGCCCACCGGGAGGAACAGACAACUCCAGACGCGCCGCCCUAAGAACUGUAACACUCACCGCGAAGGUCUGCAGCUUCACCCCUAAGCCAGCGAGACCACGAACCCACCAGAAGGAAGAAACUCUGAACACAUCUGAACAUCAGAAGGAACAAACUCUGGACACGCUGUCUUUAAGAACUGUAACACUCACCGCGAGGGUCCGCGGCUUCAUUCUUGAAGUCAGUGAGACCAAGAACCCACCAAUUCCGGACACAGGAGGAUCGCUUGAGCCCAGGAAUUCAA